UUGUUUUUCCACCUGCCUUCACUUUCCUUUCUUCCUGCAGUGGACGUGGACCGAAAGUACGUUACGUGGGAAACUCCCUCCCCCACCCCCGAGCAGGUCCAACUACACCUGAGACGCCGUGUUGGGGCUUUCACCGACGGCGAGACGAACCAAAUAAUAACGAAAAACCCGCUGAACGUUGAUAUUCUAUCUCUGGACGUCGUUUGUCACCCCACGUUGACAGAUCAGAUUGACGUCUUUGUGUUGGCCGCCAUUUCCGGGUAGGAGAAGGGGGGGGGAAACUUUACAGAAGAUGGAGGCAACACGGUCAGACCUUUAUCGCACGCUGACCGCCUAAGUGGAUUUGCCUUUACUUGAACACACACACCGUUUUGGAGGACUCCGGAGGGACAAUGUCUACAACAGAAAACAAAACUGCAGGCUUGUCCUGGGCGAGGCUCUGCAAGGAGUGCGGGCAGCAGCACGAGGGCCAGGAAAGCCACCUGUACGAGUAUCUCGAUGAUGUGGACGACGAGCUCGUGUGCCACAUUUGUCUGCAGCCCCUCAUCAGGCCUAUGGACACCCCUUGUGGACACACCUACUGCUUUGAAUGUCUGGGCAGUUUCUUGAAAGAUAAGGACUUCUGCCCCGUGGACCGCCAGCGGCUGCAGCUGCACCAAUGUCGGCAGUCCACCCUGUUGGUCAGGAACCUGCUGGACAAGCUGGCUGUCAUGUGUCCUUACUAUGCAGAAUGCCAGCAGCAGAUGCAACGCUGUGAACUUCAACCUCAUCUGCACAAUAGAUGCCCCGCUUUCAGGAGACUCCGGGACGAAGCGGAGAAAAGAAAGAGGCCCUCAUGGAACGAACUGAAGGGACGCAAAGGCGACGGCGAGUUGUCUGCUGACGCUAAACAUUCAGAAACUCCACCGCGCAGCGCCACCAGAGAUCUGACCGACCCCGGACUCAUUAACCCCGCCUACGAAGAAAGUGAGGAUGACAACACGCCGUUGCGCUCCAGCCUGGUGUCCGAGUCCAAUGUGGUGGAGCUCUUCAGGGAGGAGGCAGAUGAAGAGCUGGGCCUGCGCAUCGUCGGCGGCAAAGACACGCCGCUGGGCAACAUCGUCAUCCAGGAGAUUGUACGUGACUCUCAAGCGGCUCGUGACGCCCGACUGGCGCCCGGAGACCACAUCUUGGAGGUGAAUGACAUCAGUCUGGCGUCCGUCCCUCACGCUCGGGCCGUCGCUGUGCUGCGCCAGCCUUCCCUCGUCAGGCUCACCGUCAUGCAGGAGAAAGGUUUCAAACCGAGGGAGACGCGCCCCGAUCAGCACCCAGCCGUGUCCGGCAGCGCCCACGGGAACGCCACCUCCGCUCAUAACCCUGGCACUGUACUGCAAGUGACGCUGACCAAGAGUCAGCGCUCCGAACCGCUUGGCAUAAAGCUAAUCCGCAAAUCGGACGAAAGCGGCGUCUUCAUCCUGGACCUGCUGUCGGGAGGGUUGGCAGCCAAGGACGGCAAACUGAAGAACAAUGACAAAGUUUUAGCCAUCAAUGGACAGGACUUGAGGCACGGUACACCUGAGAGUGCCGCCCAAAUCAUACAGGCCAGCGAGGUGCGUGUCAACUUUGUAGUCUUGAGGCAAGCAGAGACUCAAGACGAAGGAGGACCACAAGGCCGAGGGGCCAGGAGGGUGCCUGAGCCGCAGUACUUCAGGCGGCGCUCCACCUACAUGAAGGACCCUCCCGGUGGCUUUUCCAGUCAGGAGAAGACGGUGAGCCUGAAGAAGGACCCUCGUCUUUCUCUGGGAAUCACCAUUGCCGGCGGAAGAGACUGCCGAAGCCGCCUGCCCGUCUACAUCACCAGCGUGCAGCCUAUUGGAUGCCUGCAUCGAGACGGCACCAUCAAACGAGGGGAUGUCCUGCUGAACAUCAACGGCGUUGACCUGACGCAACUGACGUACAGCGAGGCCGUUUCCACGCUGAAGGCGCAGGCCGCUCAGCCGCAGGUGGCGCUACGUGUCAUCCAGACCAUUUCGGAAGAAUCGCAGGAGGACGCCGAGGCCGGCGGCGGCAACGACAGGUCUGACGGCUUAGAGGACGCACGGGAAGACGCUUACAACUGGACGCCGCUGUGGAUAAGAUGGCUGGGCUUACCGAGCCACAUGCACUGGUGUCGGGACAUCGUCCUGCAGAAGAGCAACAAUGAGAGCUGGGGCUUCAGCAUUGUCGGAGGCUACGAGGAGACUCACGGCCAGCAGCCUUUCUUCAUCAAGACCAUCGUACCCGGCACACCCGCUCACUUUGAUGGCCGCCUAAAGUGCGGCGAUGAGAUUGUGGCGGUGAACGGCGCCACGACGGUGGGCAUGAACAACUCGUCGCUCAUCCCAAUGCUCAAGCUGCAGAAGAAUAAAGUGACGCUGACUGUGGUGUGCUGGCCCGGGAGUCUGGUCUAGCCAACAGACUCACUAAUUGGGAAGCAUUCUGCGCACAAAGCAGCAGGUAACUCAGUGGCAGCUGACAAAUGGAUUAGAAAGUUAUAUUCAGACUUACGAGACAUUGUCUCCUCUGUCCGUGUUAACUUAUAUCGACUGUCUCUGGCUUUGCUGCGUAAAACCUUAUCUUUGAGAUAUCCCCAUUUAAAAAAAAAAAAAAAAAAAAGAAAUGAUGGGAGGUUGGAGGAGCAUGUAGGCACUUUCAGCAUAACUUCAAUACGUUUGUAACGUUUCACACAAUCAGGUAACUUCAUGACAAAAUGUCUUUCUUCAAAAGUUAGGAUGCCAUUAUGUAGGAUUCUUUGAAUAUGAAACAAAAACAAAAAUUAGAUCAGGAACCAACAGCCAAAGAGUGAGUUUUCUUCUUUUUUUUUUUCUCGGGUAUUUGGUAACUAUUAGUUUGACCAGGGUGAAAACGUGAUGGCAAUCUGUGACAAAGCCCAUCAAUUGAAUUAUUUGGAGCACAUUUUUUGAAUUGGAAAAAAACUCCAUGAAGGAUUCAUGAUGGCUGCUCGUGACCAAAUCCGAACGGCUCUUGACUGCAAAGACCAAAGUGUCCACUUUUACUGCACUUUUCUCAAAGGCCAUCACAGUGACUGCUUCUUUUGGAGGCGUCGGGGGAUGCUCAAGCCACUAUGGGGGUCUUGACUUUGAAAGUUUCUUACAAUGCAAGAAGACUCACUUCGUGCACCUUUGUAUCUGUGUGACAUCAUAAUUGUGUUCUCGCUUUGACACUCUUGUGUCCAUUCCCUUAUAUUUAUUCACAUUUAUGAGUGCAUCUCAAUAAAAUGGAAAAUGUGAAAUAGCUAUCGCUGUAUAUAGAUUCACUUAAUGUUGGGAUUUUAUUAUUUUUAAUUUUGAUUAUAUCUUUGAAAACAUUUGAUUCAGCAUAAUUUUAAAAGGAGGUAUUAAGAGAGGAAUUGGCCUUCUGAAAAUUCGGUUCCUUUGUGUUUAAUGAAUCUGUAUAAUGAGUGUCAUGUACUGAAUUCAGCUCCUAAAAUAAAUGGACUUUUCUACUAUGUUCUAAAUAAUUGAGAUGCACCUGAAUGUGGUCACUUGUUGUUAGGUGGCUCACUUGAAUGUAAAUUUGCGCUUCAAAAAAACCAAACGACAACCCGGCACCAAUUUUGGUAUAAUACAGAGUUAUCAGAUCUGAGUGGCUGUGAUUUUGAUGUCGCUUUGGAUACAAUAAAAAGAAAUACAGUGAGUGGUGGAAAAUGAUCAACUCAA